GCCCGCCAGUAGAUCACGAGGUGGCUGCAGAAGAUUUUGAUGGGACUUCAUGGGCACGGUCACGCAUGCAUCGAUCUUCAGAUGGCAGGAGUACAGAGUACUUGCUUGCUGUGUUGCAUGCAUGCAUGCAUGCAUCACGAAAUCAAGCGUGCUGUGUUGUUCUCUAGAUUAGAUGAUGCUCUAAUAGAUUGAGCUUUGUUUUCUCUGUAUCAGUUUUGUUUUUUUUUUCUCCCUCCCUCUUGGUUCUGGAGUGCAUUUUUUCGCUGCCUCGUUUUUGUUCUACUGGAAUGAACACGUUAUUAGCUGGGAUUAAUUUGGGAAUUGAUGGGAGGAAAAAUUACGACAGUGAUUUGGUGGAUCCUUGUGUGGUGCAGGCAGCAGACCAGCAUGCAGUUCAUUUAAGAGGGGAGAGGAUCUGUUUCAGUGACUGGUUGUUGAUGCUUUGCUCCCAUAUUCGGCCAUGCACAAGCUGUACUUGAUCGUCUGCCUCUUUGGAUCCUACCUUGCAUAUAGCUGCAUGCAUGGUUUCUACUCCUCCAGUCCUCCUGCAUGAAAAAAAAAAACGCUUUUUUGCUGUUGCAUUGCAAAGAAUCAAGGAGAGAAACAGAGGCGCGUCAUAAACUUGCAGCCUUCGAUCAUCUUCAGCACGUACUAGUCAGUACAAAGAUGCCAUGCUGCCCCACACCCAGCAUCUUCUUUUUGUGUG
rnacentral:lncRNA from 1 species